rnacentral:rRNA from 1 species
CAAUAGCGUAUAUUAAUGUUGUUGCAGUUAAAAAGCUCGUAGUUGGAUUUCUGCGUCGCGCAGCUGUGUCCGCUGCAAUGCAGUGUGACUGUGGCUGGUGCGUCGCUUCCUUGUGGAGACUGUUUGUGUCAUUAAUUUGAUGUGAUCAGGAACCGCAUCGUUUACUGUGAAAAAAUUAGAGUGUUCAAAGCAGGCUUAUGCCGUGAAUACAUUAGCAUGGAAUAAUAAGAUAGGACUUUGGUACUAUUUUGUUGGUUUGCAUACCAAAUUAAUGAUCAACAGGAACAGUUUGAGGAUAUUCGUAUGAACAUGUCAGAGGUGAAAUUCUUGGAUUUUGAUCAGACGAACUACUGCGAAAGCAUUUAUCAAGGAUGUUUUCAUUAA